GGUUUUAAGUUAAAUUAAAUUAAACUAUUAAUCUUCAAAAUUAAAAAUAUUUCUUUUAAACCUUA
rnacentral:tRNA from 1 species